rnacentral:rRNA from 1 species
GAGUUUGAUCCUGGCUCAGAGCGAACGCUGGCGGCAGGCUUAACACAUGCAAGUCGAACGGGCGUAGCAAUACGUCAGUGGCAGACGGGUGAGUAACGCGUGGGAACAUACCUCUUGGUUCGGAACAACACAGGGAAACUUGUGCUAAUACCGGAUAAGCCCUUACGGGGAAAGAUUUAUCGCCGAGAGAUUGGCCCGCGUCUGAUUAGCUAGUUGGUGGGGUAAAGGCCUACCAAGGCGACGAUCAGUAGCUGGUCUGAGAGGAUGAUCAGCCACAUUGGGACUGAGACACGGCCCAAACUCCUACGGGAGGCAGCAGUGGGGAAUAUUGGACGAUGGGCGCAAGCCUGAUCCAGCCAUGCCGCGUGAGUGAUGAAGGCCCUAGGGUUGUAAAGCUCUUUUGUACGGGAAAAUAAUGACGGUACCGUAAGAAUAAGCCCCGGCUAACUUCGUGCCAGCAGCCGCGGUAAUACGAAGGGGGCUAGCGUUGCUCGGAAUCACUGGGCGUAAAGGGUGCGUAGGCGGGUUUUUAAGUCAGAGGUGAAAUCCUGGAGCUCAACUCCAGAACUGCCUUUGAUACUGAAAGUCUUGAGUAUGGGAGAGGUGAGUGGAACUGCGAGUGUAGAGGUGAAAUUCGUAGAUAUUCGCAAGAACACCAGUGGCGAAGGCGGCUCACUGGCCCAUAACUGACGCUGAGGCACGAAAGCGUGGGGAGCAAACAGGAUUAGAUACCCUGGUAGUCCACGCCGUAAACGAUGGAUGCCAGCCGUUAGUGGGUUUACUCACUAGUGGCGCAGCUAACGCUUUAAGCAUUCCGCCUGGGGAGUACGGUCGCAAGAUUAAAACUCAAAGGAAUUGACGGGGGCCCGCACAAGCGGUGGAGCAUGUGGUUUAAUUCGACGCAACGCGCAGAACCUUACCAGCCCUUGACAUGUCUAUGACCGGUACCAGAGAUGGAACCUUCCCUUCGGGGCAUAGAGCACAGGUGCUGCAUGGCUGUCGUCAGCUCGUGUCGUGAGAUGUUGGGUUAAGUCCCGCAACGAGCGCAACCCCCGUCCUUAGUUGCUACCAUUUAGUUGAGCACUCUAAGGAGACUGCCGGUGAUAAGCCGCGAGGAAGGUGGGGAUGACGUCAAGUCCUCAUGGCCCUUACGGGCUGGGCUACACACGUGCUACAAUGGCGGUGACAAUGGGAUGCAAAGGGGCGACCCCUCGCAAAUCUCAAAAAGCCGUCUCAGUUCGGAUUGGGCUCUGCAACUCGAGCCCAUGAAGUUGGAAUCGCUAGUAAUCGUGGAUCAGCAUGCCACGGUGAAUACGUUCCCGGGCCUUGUACACACCGCCCGUCACACCAUGGGAGUUGGUUCUACCUGAAGGCAGUGCGCUAACCGCAAGGGGGCAGCUGACCACGGUAGGGUCAGCGACUGGGGUGAAGUCGUAACAAGGU